CUCUUACUUCCAAUCAGUGAAAUGACUUCCCGUGAAGAGGCGGGAAUGCCAAAUAAGACGAGAAGACCUAUGGAGCUUUAACUAACCAACCAAAGAGAAUAGAUUUAACCAUUUAGGAAUAACAACAAUCUCCAUGGAGUUGGUAGUUCGGUUGGGGUGACCUCGGAGAAUAAAAAAUCCUCCGAGCGAUUUUAAAGACUAGACCCACAAGUCAAAUCACUCUAUCGCUCAUUGAUCCAAAAACUUGAUCAACGGAACAAGUUACCCUAGGGAUAACAGCGCAAUCCUAUUCAAGAGUCCAUAUCGACAAUAGGGUUUACGACCUCGAAUGUUGGAUCAGGACAUCCUGAUGGUGCAACCGCUAUCAAAGGUUCGUUGUUCAACGAUUAAAGUCCUACGUGAUCUGAGUUCAGACCGGAGUAAUCCAGGUCGGUUUCUAUCUAUUACGUAUUUCUCCCAGUACGAAAGGACAAGAGAAAUAAGCAACUUUAAAUCAAGCGCCUUAAGACAACCAAUG
rnacentral:rRNA from 1 species